rnacentral:misc_RNA from 1 species
GAUGAAGAACGUAGCGAAAUGCGAUAAGUAAUGUGAAUUGCAGAAUUCAGUGAAUCAUCGAAUCUUUGAACGCACAUUGCGCCCGCCAGUAUUCUGGCGGGCAUGCCUGUUCGAGCGUCAUUUCAACCAUCAAGCCCUGCUUGCGUUGGGGUCCUGCGGCUGCCCGCAGGCCCUGAAAACCAGUGGCGGGCUCGCUAGUCACACCGAGCGCAGUAAUACAUCUCGCUUUGGGCGUGCGGCGGGUUCUUGCCGUUAAACACCCCCUUUUUACCAAGGUUGACCUCGGAUCAGGUAGGAAUACCCGCUGAACUUAAGCAUAUCAAUAAGCGAAGGA